rnacentral:rRNA from 1 species
GGAUUAGAAACCCGGGUAGUCCACGCCGUAAACGAUGAUUACUCGAUGUUGGCGAUACACAGUCAGCGUCCAAGCGAAAGCGUUAAGUAAUCCACCUGGGGAGUACGAGUCGCAAGAUUGAAACUCAAAGGAAUUGACGGGGGCCCGCACAAGCAGCGGAGCAUGUGGUUUAAUUCGACGCAACGCGAAGAACCUUACCUGGGCUUGACAUGUCCGUGACCGGCGUGGAAACACGUCUUCCCUUCGGGGCACGGUCACAGGUGGUGCAUGGCUG